CCGCGAAAGGCUCAUUAAAUCAGCUGUAAUUUAAUUGAUGGUACAAUCACUUUUACUUGGAUAACUGUGGCAAUUCUAGAGCUAAUACAUGCAAAAUGAAUUCCGACCGCGCGGGCGGGCUCUUUUACAAGCUCGUCUUGGCGGAACGAAUGCUUUUAUUAGAACAAAACCAAUCGGAUCUUUCGUCGGCUCGCGUCACUUUUUUUUCGUUCUUUUCUCUCGUUCGGUGACGUCUUUCGCGCUCUUCCUCCGUUCCUUUCUCCGCGAUCGCUUCGUCGAGAUUGAUUUCUCGCGCGAGCGAAAACGGAGAGUACACGGGGAAGGGAGGGCACACGGGAGCGCGAAAGCAUCCGUUCGAAACAACGGGGAAAGUUGCGAAAAAAGAACGGUGUGCGCGGAAAAAGCUCGAAAGAAAUCAGCAAAAAUAGUUUUGAGGAAUCUGAAUAACUUUACGCUGAUCGCACGGUCACGAACCGGCGACGCAUCUUUCAAAUGUCUGACUUAUCAACUUUCGAUGGUAGGCUACGCGCCUACCAUGGUGAUAACGGGUGACGGGGAAUCAGGGUUCGAUUCCGGAGAGGGAGCCUGAGAAACGGCUACCACAUCCAAGGAAGGCAGCAGGCGCGCAAAUUACCCACUCCCGGCACGGGGAGGUAGUGACGAAAAAUAACGAUGCAGGACUCAUUACGAGGCUCUGCAAUCGGAAUGAGAACACUCUAAAUCAUUUAACGAGUAUCCAUUGCAGG
rnacentral:rRNA from 1 species